rfam:Myotis lucifugus cont2.13667, whole genome shotgun sequence.
GAGACACCCUUCUGGGGCAGGACUUGCUUCAGUGGGGCUUUGGUGCUCACUGAGUCUGCCCCUUGAGUGUGUCCCU